UACGUAGGGUGCAAGCGUUGUCCGGAAUUAUUGGGCGUAAAGGGCUCGUAGGCGGUCUGUCGCGUCGGCUGUGAAAUCCCGAGGCUCAACCUCGGGUCUGCAGUCGAUACGGGCAAACUGGAGUGUUGCAGGGGAGACUGGAAUUCCUGGUGUAGCGGUGAAAUGCGCAGAUAUCAGGAGGAACACCGGUGGCGAAGGCGGGUCUCUGGGCAACAACUGACGCUGAGGAGCGAAAGCGUGGGGAGCGAACAGG
rnacentral:rRNA from 1 species